GGCACACAAAUCGAAGGAAGCUCUCCAGGGAUGCAGCGGGAAGGUGCGAGCGGCGGUCGCCGGCGGCAAGGCGACCUUGCCGGUUCCCAUGGCGCCGUCCAAAAUAUUACAAAACGCCCAUCCAAAUAUUUACAACACAGCCCCUAUUAUUUACAUAUAGACCCCGUUUUGGAUUUUAUAGUUUAUGUUGUACCCCUAUAAUUUACAUAUAGACCCUUUAUUUGGAUCGCGAUUAUUAACCGCGAUUCGAAUAUAUGCAAAAAGCCCCCUGGUGUCGAUCUCGAAUUUGGUUCCGUCCCUCCGCUCCACCUCCGGCUGAUCCGCCGCCGCUGCUCUCCCCACCUUCCGUGCUAGCAGGGAGCAUGAAGGCCCAUCUCUCUCCGAUGCACGCAAGCCCAAGGAUCCUAUUCCUUCACUCUCUCUCCUCCCGCAACAAGUCCCCAACAUGGCCGGCCAUUGGAGCCGAGCGAGCACGCCGAGCAGGCGCGCGCUUCGCUUGAGCUCAUGCAGCGGGCCAUGGCAGGUUCUUCGGUAUGUUCUGCUCGCCGGCUGCGGCUGUGGCUCGGUGGUCGGCGGGACGCGCGGUGGCGGAUGCGGGUCGAGCAGGCCGUGAUGGCGAGGCUACGCGGGAACCCGGGCAGCAGAAGAAAAAGAAAAAAAUGUUACACCCACAUGUACAAAAGGCUCCAUCACGUGUCAAUCAUGUUAGAUCUAAAUUGUGCAUGGUAUCCAUGAUACAUAAUGUAUUUAUGUUACAACACGUGAUGGCAAAAAAAAAAGUUACAUGCAAUGUGCUGGGUAUGUCACGUGCAUGGAGGGGACAAAAAAUGUUUCUUGUCUCAAAUUAAUGGCCGGCACAUCAUGUGGAAAAAAGACAGAAAUCUGAGAUCUCAACUAAUCAUGCAUGCAAGUUAGAUCUAAUCCUAUAUUUUCUGAUUUAAAAUAUAUAAAAUAAAAAUUAAAACUAUUACCUCCUAAGACGUAACAUUAAUUGUAUCUGAUCGACGGUCCACUAUCAGCGAACUGAAAAGAUGAAUUACUGAAUUACAUCCUAAAACUAAACAAUGCGACGGGCAAAGCAAGGAUCUGAGGCUACCAAGCAUGCGAUGCAAGCAACCAACAGCAAACACUUUGAUGGUCACCGGAUGCCACAUGUUGCUGGGUUCAGAGUCCUCUGCACUCCUACUCCAUUCCAACACCCGGCGUUUCAGGUCCUGACUGAAUCGCAGAUGAACCAUCGCUCUGCCUUCCCUGUAACAACCUAUUACCAGAAUCUCGAAAGAAAUGACACAAAUUUACGGUAAUUUCUGACCUAUAGACACAAGAUGCAUUCGAUCCAUGUGGCCACGACUGGAAGAAAUUGAAGGCAUCGUUGAUUCAGAAACUGGAACAUAUAGAGACACCUGAAAAAAAAAAGGAAAUGGAACAUACCAUCAGACUUGG
rnacentral:lncRNA from 1 species